GAUGAACGCUGGCGGCGUGCCUAAUACAUGCAAGUCGAGCGAAUGGAUUAAGAGCUUGCUCUUAUGAAGUUAGCGGCGGACGGGUGAGUAACACGUGGGUAACCUGCCCAUAAGACUGGGAUAACUCCGGGAAACCGGGGCUAAUACCGGAUAACAUUUUGAACCGCAUGGUUCGAAAUUGAAAGGCGGCUUCGGCUGUCACUUAUGGAUGGACCCGCGUCGCAUUAGCUAGUUGGUGAGGUAACGGCUCACCAAGGCAACGAUGCGUAGCCGACCUGGAAGGUUGAGCGGCCACCCUGGGACUGAGACACGGCCCAGACUCCUACGGGAGGCAGCAGUAGGGAAUCUUCCGCAAUGGACGAAAGCCUGACGGAGCAACGCCGCGUGAGUGAUGAAGGCUUUCGGGUCGUAAAACUCUGUUGUUAGGGAAGAACAAGUGCUAGUUGAAUAAGCUGGCACCUUGACGGUACCUAACCAGAAAGCCACGGCUAACUACGUGCCAGCCGCCGCCGUAA
rnacentral:rRNA from 1 species